rnacentral:rRNA from 1 species
GGGCCCGCACAAGCGGUGGAGCAUGUGGUUUAAUUCGAUGAUACGCGAGGAACCUUACCAGGGCUUAAAUGCAUAAUGAUAGAUUGGGAAACCAAUCCUUCUUCGGACAAUAUGCAAGGUGCUGCAUGGUUGUCGUCAGCUCGUGCCGUGAGGUGUUGGGUUAAGUCCCGUAACGAGCGCAACCCCUAUCUUUAGUUGCCAGCGGUUCGGCCGGGGACUCUAAAGAAACUGCCAGCGCAAGCUGUGAGGAAGGUGGGGAUGACGUCAAAUCAUCACGGCCCUUACGUCCUGGGCUACACACGUGCUACAAUGGUAGGUACAAAGGGCAGCCACUUGGUGACAAGGAGCUAAAUCUCUAAAACCUAUCUCAGUUCGGAUUGGAGUCUGAAACUCGACUCUAUGAAGCUGGAAUCGCUAGUAA